rnacentral:rRNA from 1 species
UACGUAGGGCGCAAGCGUUAUCCGGAAUUAUUGGGCGUAAAGAGCUCGUAGGCGGUUUGUCGCGUCUGCCGUGAAAGUCCGGGCUCAACUCCGGAUCUGCGGUGGGUACGGGCAGACUAGAGUGAUGUAGGGGAGACUGGAAUUCCUGGUGUAGCGGUGAAAUGCGCAGAUAUCAGGAGGAACACCGAUGGCGAAGGCAGGUCUCUGGGCCGAUACUGACGCUGAGGAGCGAAAGCGUGGGGAGCGAACAGG